rnacentral:sRNA from 1 species
UUUUUUUUGUUGUCAACAGUUUUAAUUUAAAGCUAAAACAAAACCAAUUUUGGAGAAUAUUGCUUACAUGCGUUAUAUAUAGCGGUUAGCAAGUUAUCCGUUUUUACAUUUGCACAUUACAAGAAAAAAGAAACUCGUAAAUUUCUCUUUGUCGCUCUAAAAAUCUUCUAAAUAUGCUGAGAACGCCGACCAUUCAGUUGAAGUAGACAUCAUCUUCACCAGGUCUGAACAGUAUGUACAAAAUGUUAUAUAUUGGUUGUCGGCACCAGUCAUACACCUCAUCGCUCAUAGUUGAAUUUUAACUUCGGUAUGUAGUGGAGAUAGACUUCUAGCGGUUAAUAUGGUUAGCCUCUCUCCAUUUGAUAAUGUCAAUAU